UACGAAGGGGGCUAGCGUUGUUCGGAAUUACUGGGCGUAAAGCGUGCGCAGGCGGCUAUCCAAGUCAGUGGUGAAAGCCCGGAGCUCAACUCCGGAAUUGCCAUUGAAACUGUUUAGCUUGAGUACGAGAGAGGUGAGUGGAAUACCCAGUGUAGAGGUGAAAUUCGUAGAUAUUGGGUAGAACACCGGUGGCGAAGGCGGCUCACUGGCUCGUAACUGACGCUCAUGCACGACAGCGUGGGGAUCAAACAGG
rnacentral:rRNA from 1 species